rnacentral:rRNA from 1 species
UGCAAGUCGAGCGCUUGCACAAGAAAGCUUGCUUUCUUGUUGCUUGAGCGGCGGACGGGUGAGUAACACGUGGGCAACCUGCCUAUAAGACUGGGAUAACUUCGGGAAACCGGAGCUAAUACCGGAUAAUGCUUUUGAACACAUGUUCGAAAGCGGAAAGAUGGUUUCGGCUAUCACUUAUAGAUGGGCCCGCGGCGCAUUAGCUAGUUGGUGAGGUAACGGCUCACCAAGGCGACGAUGCGUAGCCGACCUGAGAGGGUGAUCGGCCACACUGGGACUGAGACACGGCCCAGACUCCUACGGGAGGCAGCAGUAGGGAAUCUUCCGCAAUGGACGAAAGUCUGACGGAGCAACGCCGCGUGAGUGAUGAAGGUUUUCGGAUCGUAAAACUCUGUUGUUAGGGAAGAACAAGUACCGGAGUAACUGCCGGUACCUUGACGGUACCUAACCAGAAAGCCACGGCUAACUACGUGCCAGCAGCCGCGGUAAUACGUAGGUGGCAAGCGUUGUCCGGAAUUAUUGGGCGUAAAGCGCGCGCAGGCGGUUCUUUAAGUCUGAUGUGAAAGCCCACGGCUCAACCGUGGAGGGUCAUUGGAAACUGGGGAACUUGAGUGCAGAAGAGAAGAGCGGAAUUCCACGUGUAGCGGUGAAAUGCGUAGAGAUGUGGAGGAACACCANUGGCGAA